rnacentral:lncRNA from 1 species
AGCAUAGUAUAGUAUAGAAAGGCAUCUUAGGUACAUAUUAUACUAUCUCUGGUCCAGUCCUAGAGUCUGUGAAUCCUACUGGUAGCUCUGUUUCCUUUUAGUGGGGAUCAAUAUUCAAAAAUCAAGAUAUUGGGCUAGCAUUACUUAUUGAUACUGAGAUAUUAGCUUUCCUAGCCCUAUUAGACAGAUCUAGAGGGAAAAUGACAGAUACACAUACAUACUUGCGUGCACACACACAUAUACAUCUUCUAUCCAGUGCCAACAGUUACUUGUUACCUCCUUCACCCCAUAGUGAAAGCCCUGAAUUUCAACAAUACAUGUAUUAAUUUUCCCAAUCACACAAAGGUAAAUUCACACAUAGCAAAUAAAAGUAAAAUUCAUACAAAAUAUCAGAAUUGACAUACACUUAACACUACAAAUAAUAACCCUUCUACAUAGAGGUUAUGAUUUGUUUGCUUUUUAUUCUUGUCUUUUCAAUUGAGAUAAAGUACUGUGUUUACUUGGAUGUGUUCUCUAUUUUUCUCUUGAAUGAGGUUAUAUUAUCCUUUUGAAAUACAGUUAGAUUUUUUCUGUUCAUACUCAAUUUUGGAGUAUUUUCACAUGCACUUAAGUAAAUUUUAUUUUAUUUUUUGAAGUAUGUAAUGUAUCCAAGAGUCAAAAGAAUACAGAGAAUAAUAUUCAAAACAUUGCAGGAGAAUGUUCUGUCCCAGGACUCACCCAAGUGAUAGAAUGGAAGUGCAAUUCAGGCAAUCUAAUCUGAUGGGAAUCCAACUUUGAGGCAAGUUCCUCACAAGCUGACUGCAAAUCAGAAACAGUGCCUUUCUAUUAUUAAGGUUUUUUUCUCCUGGAACAACUAUGCCUGAGAGAGGAUAAAGCUAAGGAGUUUAGAAAUAGCGGAAUUGAACUUACGGUUGUUUUGUGUUUGAUAACUUGGUCUUCAGAUGCAAUGCUGGUCACUAGAAGGUAUGAAAAAUCUUCUGAGAACUCAGUGAGGACCUGAGGGUAUGGCUCAGUGCUUCGCAUGCAUGAGACACUGGGUUCCAUCCCCAGUACCCACAUUUUCAUAUAUUCUUCUUGCCAACGUACCCUAAGACCUCUUGCUGCCUGAAAUAUCUUUGUCACACUCAAUCUUCUUGGCUAUGGCAAUUCUUUCUUAACCUUACACAGGAAGGAAUCGUGCCCGUUCGCUAAGGUUACCCAUUGUUAGCUCUGUUAUUGACCGAAUCUCUCUAAGCAUUCUCAGCAGUUGCCACCGCCAAAAUGUUAUAAAAAGCAAGUGGCAGUUUUCCCAACCAUCCAAUUCCCACUUGUAUGGAAUCUGAAAGUAUCAGCAAAUGGCGGUCUGUGUUGACCUAAUGGACAGACCACCUGAUUCCUUGUCAGAAAGUUAAUCACUCAAGUUCUUUUGUGGUUCUUUUAUUCUAGCUCCUUCCUAACCCAGGUUGCAGGAGGGUGAAGAAGAUUUCACUAAAAUAUUUCACUAGACUUCAC